AGAGCAAACAGGUGUCUUUUAACAGUAUGACCACUUAGAAUAAAUUGGACAGUAAUUUGAUCACUUAGUAUAAAGAAGCAGAUACAUAACGGGCUCACUUUAUCACAUGCUUCAAUUUGAUAUUAGAAUAUAAAUUAGAAAAAAUACAGGAAUACUGAAUAAAAAUCAGCCCCAUUGGCUACACUUUUACAACUGAUGUAUGUUGCUUUGAAAUUAAAACAAAGAUUAAAACAAUGAGUGGAGAAGACAAGCUGUGUAUUAUCAAUCUUGAGCAAAUUCUGGUAUUUUGACUUUAACGUAUCUCAGAAAAACUAACAGACAAGCAAGUAUCAGUCAUAGUUUAAUAGUGAGGUGAAUAUAAAAUUGUGUACCAGAUUUUACCUCCCCAUUUGUAGUUUCUUCAGAGGUCUCUCUGUGUGUGUGUCGGGGGAUGGGGGGUAAGGCACAUGUGAUCAACCUCAAAUGUUGACUUCUAGUGCUUUCUAUCUUAUUUUUUUUCAGAGUCUCUUAUGGAACCUGGAACUCAUUGUUUUGGUGAGAUAAUAACAGGCCAGCAAGACCAAGGAUCUUCCUUUUACCGUCCCCUCAGUGUGGCCCAUGAAAUACUUUGCUACCCACAGUGUUUGAGAGUAAUCUGGUGGAAAAAGAGAACAGUCUCCUGCAAGUUGUUCUAUGAUCUCAACUUGAAUACCAUGACAUGACUGACCCCCCAAAAGAGAACCAGAGCACCAACCACUCAGUCUCAUGCAGGAGGUGCUAGAGAAGCAUAACCUUGGGGAAUCUCCUUCAUCUUGUAUUCUUGGUUUUUCCUCAUCUCCUAUGAGCUCUGCAAUAAUCUGAGAAAUUCAAGGUGUCACACUAUCACAAUUUUCAAUGAUCUGUGUGUGAUAGAGAAAUAACUUUCAGCUGUAAUCACAAGGGACUGCCAGGGUGAGCCAGUAAUGUGCAUGGAUAGAUACGUGGUGUAUGGUUGGGAAUGGAUUUAUUAUAAGAACUGUCUUACAUGAUUAUGGAAACAGAGAGGUUCUUCUAUCUGCCAAUUAAAAGAACCAAGGAGUCUGGCAGUAUGUUCUAUACAAACCCUGGACUCUUUAGGAGAAGGGAGGCUGGCAGUGUUGCCUAGAUGACCCUUGAAUAAUUGAUCCUGGAAAGGCUGCCAGUGUUGCCCAGAUGAACCCUGAAUCCUUUAACCUGGAAAGGCUGGCAGUGUUUCCCAGCCCAAACCUAGAGUCCUGAGGGUAAAGGAAAUGGCAAUGUGCCUUAUCCUAGCCUUGGUAUCCUGAGGACAAGGGGAGUUGACGUGACAGGUCUUUGAAGCUAAGGAUCUGAUAUCCUUGAGCGACAGUAUUGUAAUCAGUGUGUAAAGUCUGCAAAGAAAGGAGCACCAGCAUCAGAAAGGUUAGAGAUAUCUAGCUUUACCUUGCCUUUGUUUUGUGAGAACUCUUGGUAGAACUGAUGUGGUCUUUCCUCAUGGGCUAACAGGACCUUUAGUUCACUGGAUCAUGGGCUAAUUUCUUCUGGACACAAUUCACACCUGUAUACAAAAGUUAUGCUUACCAAUGGGGAGGACACUCUUUGAUCCUGUCAAUAUACCUAAAAUGAGCUGUCACAGUCCUGUUAUCCAUGUUUACGCCACCUCCUUCCCCCCGUUUUUAAAAUAUUGUUUUCCUUAGCUUGCAGUUUUCAAAUAAAGAAUCAACAUUGUAAUCCUUGUUUCAGGCUACCCAUUCAAUAAAAUCCAUGUGCUAAAAGAGUAUUCUGGUGGGGGUAACAUUACCAGUUAUAGGUUAUAAAACAACAUCUUUCUUAGAAGCAUUAACUAGUGCAAUUUUGAAUAGAUAUUGGAAUAUCAAUACACAAAUACCAAUAACAGUAUUAUAUUAUUAAAUGUUUUAUAAUGCUAGAAUUUGGGGGACCUAGGAAAUAACUAACACAAUUGUCAGAAUUUCCUCCAUAAAUUUUAUUUUAAGAAUGAAAAAAAAAACACUUGAUAAUACAAAGUUUACAAAAUCCUCAUUGAAAAGGCUCUCCUAAAGGGAGGGAUUGUAUAGCAUGGAAUUCUACAUACUUCAUGACAAAAGAAAGUGAUAAAAAUUGACAGCUGCAUUAAGGAAUGAGAGCUCAAACCUUCCAGUGGAAAACCUAAAAAUGAUAUCCACAAAACUGUUUAUGAUACAAUGAUAGUAUUUUAGGCUUUAUGAUAGAUGCUAAUUUGUCGUACUUGUGAAGGUCCUGUUGCUUAAUUGUGUUCACUUUAUGACUCCAUCACUCAGAAUAAUAUAUUUUCACAUAUUUACCUUUUAAAUAAAUUUCCUUACUUAAUCCUUAUGUAAACAAAUUUUCUGGUCAGUUGGUCUAUGUGGAGGAUGCUAAAAGCUUCUUAAUUAACUUAUCUCAAGUAGCUGGUAAAUUUCCUGAAUUAAGUCAUUGAACUUUGUUGUGUGACUGGUUUAGCUCCUGAUUUAAAAUGCUCUUCUCUUUUGCUACAAAAGCAAAGCCAGAUUUAUUUUCCUACUCUCAUACCAUCUUGAAGUAUAAUAUUGCUUCCUUUAGCUAUCUUUCAAAGAAACACUAAGUGCAUCUUUCAGAAGGUGUUAUGUAAUUUGAAGUAUUUUUCACUAUUUAAUGUAUUUUUUAAAACACAGGCAUCUAAAUGUCAGGUUUCAGCAAUAUUCAUCAAAUACAGAAUUUGUUUUCAUUUUAUUUCAUAAAAAAUUCUUCUUUCCUAUUUAUGCAGAUGUGUUGUUUAAAAUCAGGUUUAGGAAAAACUACUUUGGAAACCUUAUCCUUAUUUGAAAGUGAUGCUUUUGAAGUUCUUCCCUUGGGGAAUAUCAGUGUGUAGAUUUCUUUGCAUUACUUUUAUAGCAAAAAGUCCUCUAGAUUUACUUAAUCAUAAUGAUCUGAAUAAGUAUGUUGUGCAAAUAAAAUAGCUACUCUGAUGCUUUCUCAGGAGUAGGACUUUUCCUGUUGAGUUCGGGAGAGCAAAUCUGUGUUUUAUUUGGACCACUAUAAAAGACUUUGAAGACUUUCAACUGUAAAUGGUCAUAUUAAAAAACUGAAUUAAAUGUAUAUAUAAAGCUAAAAUAUUCUACAUGACUGAGUGAUAAUUGCUAUAAUAAAAUUAGUUAACAUUUUGUUAUCAAGAGGUAUAUCUUAUGUGUUUGUUUUUCCUGACAACUUGGUAAAAUCAGAUUUGAGAAUUAUUUCACAAAAGUUGUUCAAAUACCUAAAAUAUAAAUAAUAUUUUAUUAUUAUACUUUGAGAUGCAGUUUAUGUGUGGUAAAAGGCAGUUUAUUAAGAGUAUGAGAGUUAUCCAGUGGAACAUUAGUUUUUGUCACAUAAUCAUAUCUUUGUAUUAUGAUUCAAAUAAAUACAUUUUGCCAUCUCUCUAUACAAACUAAAUAGGCUACUAUCUGUUUUCCCACAUUAAGUAGAAUUACUGAAUGAAUGAAAACUAUUGAAUUACUACAUAUCACUAUAUAUAUUAGUUAGGGAAUAAUUAUAUCUGUGGUGCUUUGAAGAAUUUUACAUUAGUGUUUAAAAACUAUAGGCCUUUGCCAUACUGCCUACUAUAGUCCUGUCCAUAGAUGGGAUCACUUUGAAAUUGCUCCAACAUUUAGCACAGGAUACAGAAGGCUGGGAACUGACACCUGGAUGAAACUCUUAGAAAAUGUGAAUUUUCUACAUGAUUUUGCUAAGAGUUAAAAUCCAUUUAUGCAUUUGGAAUCCUGGCUUAUGUAUCUUAUCAAUUAUAAGUACGUUCUACAGUUUAUUUUCAUAAUCAUCUAUCAAUAUUUUAAAUAAUUACGUAUUCAAAUCCACUCAUGUUCUCACCCUUAUGUUUCCCAUAUAUUGUUAUUUCUUGUUCUAUGAAGUCUAAAAACAGCAAUCCUCAUAUUGGGAUGUUUUAAGAAAGGGGAUCACAAGUCAAAGGAAACAUAGACUGUUCCAGAACAUCCUAAGCUGCAGAACAACCCUCUCUCAAAUAAAUAUACAAAUAAAAUGAAAUAAUAUGCAAAUAUUUUCCUAGUAGUGAAUGUGAUCUUCAUUACCAUAUCCAUCUUCCAAUUCUAAAAUGGAAUUACAUGAAAAAAUACUAAUUGUCCAGACUUAAUUGUGUGCCCAGAGAUACAAAAUGAAGC
ensembl:lincRNA